rnacentral:lncRNA from 1 species
UUUGUCAAAAGAUGAAGCAUCGUCAAGUAAGAGGGAUGGCAGUAGCGUUGGGAAGAAGAAUGAGAGCGAAAUAAAUGCAAUAAUCAGUGGAAGGCAGAGAAGGCGUCAGGUCAGGAAGAGUCAACCACCCCGUCAACAUCAUCACCAAGUAUCUUAAGUUAUCCUUGUAUUCUCAAAUAAUCAAUCAAUACCAAUUCAACAACAACAA